rnacentral:rRNA from 1 species
AGUCGUAAAAUGUCUCCGUAGGUGA